rnacentral:rRNA from 1 species
AUUGAACGCUGGCGGCAUGCCUUACACAUGCAAGUCGAACGGCAGCACGGGUGCUUGCACCUGGUGGCGAGUGGCGAACGGGUGAGUAAUACAUCGGAACGUACCUUAUCGUGGGGGAUAACGCAGCGAAAGCUGUGCUAAUACCGCAUACGCCCUGAGGGGGAAAGCGGGGGAUCGCAAGACCUCGCGCGAUUAGAGCGGCCGAUGCCUGAUUAGCUAGUGGGUGGGGUAAAAGCCCACCAAGGCGACGAUCAGUAGCUGGUCUGAGAGGACGAUAAGCCACACUGGGACUGAGACACGGCCCAGACUCCUACGGGAGGCAGCAGUGGGGAAUUUUGGACAAUGGGGGCAACCCUGAUCCAGCAAUGCCGCGUGAGUGAAGAAGGCCUUCGGGUUGUAAAGCUCUUUUGUCAGGGAAGAAACACCGGCUCUAACACAGUCCGGGAAUGACGGUACCUGAAGAAUAAGCACCGGUUAACUACGUGCCAGCAGCCGCCGCCG